GAUGAAGAACGCAGCGAAAUGCGAUAAGUAAUGUGAAUUGCAGAAUUCAGUGAAUCAUCGAAUCUUUGAACGCACAUUGCGCCCUCUGGUAUUCCGGGGGGCAUGCCUGUUCGAGCGUCAUUAUAACCACUCAAGCUCUCGCUUGGUAUUGGGGUUCGCGGUUUCGCGGCCCCUAAAAUCGGUGGCGGUGCCUGUCGGCUCUACGCGUAGUAAUACUUCUCGCGAUUGAGUUCGAUAGGUCUACUUGCCAGUAACCCCCAAUUUUUACAGGUUGACCUCGGAUCAGGUAGGGAUACCCGCUGAACUUAAGCAUAUCAAUAAGCGGAGGA
rnacentral:misc_RNA from 1 species